rnacentral:rRNA from 1 species
UACGUAGGGUGCAAGCGUUGUCCGGAAUUAUUGGGCGUAAAGAGCUCGUAGGCGGUUUGUUGCGUCUAUCGUGAAAACCUGCAGCUUAACUGUGGGCUUGCGGUGGAUACGGGCAGACUUGAGUUCGGUAGGGGAGACUGGAAUUCCUGGUGUAGCGGUGAAAUGCGCAGAUAUCAGGAGGAACACCGGUGGCGAAGGCAGCUCUCUGGGACGGUACUGACGCUGAGACGCGAAAGCGUGGGGAGCGAACAGG